rnacentral:rRNA from 1 species
GACGAACGCUGGCGGCGUGCUUAACACAUGCAAGUCGAACGGAAAGGCCCCUUUGGGGGUACUCGAGUGGCGAACGGGUGAGUAACACGUGAGUAACCUGCCCUUGACUUCGGGAUAACUUCAGGAAACUGGGGCUAAUACCGGAUAGGAAUCCUUGCUGCAUGGUGGGGGUUGGAAAGCUUCGGCGGUUUUGGAUGGACUCGCGGCUUAUCAGCUUGUUGGUGGGGUAGUGGCUUACCAAGGCUUUGACGGGUAGCCGGCCUGAGAGGGCGACCGGCCACAUUGGGACUGAGAUACGGCCCAGACUCCUACGGGAGGCAGCAGUGGGGAAUAUUGCACAAUGGGCGGAAGCCUGAUGCAGCAACGCCGCGUGCGGGAUGACGGCCUUCGGGUUGUAAACCGCGUUCAGCAGGGGCGAAGCUUGUGGUGACGGUACCUGCAGAAGAAGCACCGGCUAACUACGUG